AAUGCUGACAUGAGUAACGAUAAGGGGAGUGAAAAACUUCCCCGCCGAAAACCCAAGGUUUCCUGUUCUAUGCUAAUCAGAGCAGGGUGAGUCGGCCCCUAAGGCGAGACCGAAAGGUGUAGUCGAUGGGAAACGGAUUAAUAUUUCCGUACCUUGGAUAGCUGCGAUGGAGAGACGGAGAAGGCUAGGUGAGCCGGGCGACGGUUGUCCCGGUUUAAGCAUGUAGGCAGUGGGAUUAGGCAAAUCCGGUCCCACAAUGCCGAGACGCGACGACGACUGCCCUUUUAGGGCGGGAAGUCAUUGAUGCCCUGCUUCCAGGAAAAUCUUCUAAGCUUCAGGCUAUUCGAGACCGUACCCCAAACCGACACA
rnacentral:rRNA from 1 species